UAUGAGAGUUUGAUCCUGGCUCAGGAUGAACGCUGGCGGCGUGCCUAAUACAUGCAAGUCGAACGAGUUCUCGUUGAUGAUCGGUGCUUGCACCGAGAUUCAACAUAGAACGAGUGGCGGACGGGUGAGUAACACGUGGGUAACCUGCCCUUAAGUGGGGGAUAACAUUUGGAAACAGAUGCUAAUACCGCAUAGAUCCAAGAACCGCAUGGUUCUUGGCUGAAAGAUGGCGUAAGCUAUCGCUUUUGGAUGGACCCGCGGCGUAUUAGCUAGUUGGUGAGGUAAUGGCUCACCAAGGCGAUGAUACGUAGCCGAACUGAGAGGUUGAUCGGCCACAUUGGGACUGAGACACGGCCCAAACUCCUACGGGAGGCAGCAGUAGGGAAUCUUCCACAAUGGACGCAAGUCUGAUGGAGCAACGCCGCGUGAGUGAAGAAGGCUUUCGGGUCGUAAAACUCUGUUGUUGGAGAAGAAUGGUCGGCAGAGUAACUGUUGUCGGCGUGACGGUAUCCAACCAGAAAGCCACGGCUAACUACGUGCCAGCAGCCGCGGUAAUACGUAGGUGGCAAGCGUUAUCCGGAUUUAUUGGGCGUAAAGCGAGCGCAGGCGGUUUUUUAAGUCUGAUGUGAAAGCCCUCGGCUUAACCGAGGAAGCGCAUCGGAAACUGGGAAACUUGAGUGCAGAAGAGGACAGUGGAACUCCAUGUGUAGCGGUGAAAUGCGUAGAUAUAUGGAAGAACACCAGUGGCGAAGGCGGCUGUCUGGUCUGUAACUGACGCUGAGGCUCGAAAGCAUGGGUAGCGAACAGGAUUAGAUACCCUGGUAGUCCAUGCCGUAAACGAUGAAUGCUAGGUGUUGGAGGGUUUCCGCCCUUCAGUGCCGCAGCUAACGCAUUAAGCAUUCCGCCUGGGGAGUACGACCGCAAGGUUGAAACU
rnacentral:rRNA from 1 species